UAGGGAAUCUUCCGCAAUGGGCGAAAGCCUGACGGAGCAACGCCGCGUGAGUGAUGAAGGUCUUCGGAUCGUAAAACUCUGUUAUUAGGGAAGAACAAAUGUGUAAGUAACUAUGCACGUCUUGACGGUACCUAAUCAGAAAGCCACGGCUAACUACGUGCCAGCAGCCGCGGUAAUACGUAGGUGGCAAGCGUUAUUCGGAAUUAUUGGGCGUAAAGCGCGCGUAGGCGGUUUUUUAAGUCUGAUGUGAAAGCCCACGGCUCAACCGUGGAGGGUCAUUGGAAACUGGAAAACUUGAGUGCAGAAGAGGAAAGUGGAAUUCCAUGUGUAGCGGUGAAAUGCGCAGAGAUAUGGAGGAACACCAGUGGCGAAGGCGACUUUCUGGUCUGUAACUGACGCUGAUGUGCGAAAGCGUGGGGAUCAAACAGG
rnacentral:rRNA from 1 species